rnacentral:lncRNA from 1 species
AAAAAUCUUGAAGCCUUGAAGCCACCUGCAGGGCUGUUGUUUUCCAAGGCCUUGCACUUACGUAAUUGACAUCUACAUAGACACACUCCUGGAACAUAUCGGGGGAGGCAGGCAUUCUGCUUGUUCUCAUUUGUUCUCAAAUUACAUGAUAAAAUACAUGUUUUGGACCUUUUAAACCAAAGGGAGUUAUUGAGCCCGCUUACAAAAUCCAUAACAUGUUAGCAGGACUUAUCUAGCUGCCUCCACAGAAUAGCCAAGCAACUCUACACCCGCUUUAGCCCCCACAAAAACAAGCGGAUUGCACUACAAAUAAUUUGCCUAUUUGGAAAAUGAAAGCUUCUCUGUAGUUUGAGGUCCUAUUUUUUCUUUAAGUUGUUACAGUCUUUUCAUGGUCCUUGAGGUCUAGGUUAGGUUUUUGUUUGGGGUAAUUUUUGUAUCCUAUGGAUACUAUUUAAUCUUUAGUAUUGAGUCAGUAUUUCUCACUUAGGCCUUAGGGGAAUACUGCCUGAAGUAUGUAGGGGGCAUGCGGAAUUCAGACGUGGCUUGGAAACUGCACCAUGGGUUCACCCAAGAAACAGACCAGAGGCAACACAUUCUAUCACUAAAACGUGUUCUCAGUUACACUUCCCUUCCAAAGGUAUCUCUGUUCAAGCCAACACCCGCUAGCUUAUGCUGAGUCUUUUUUUCCUGAAGAUACUCCUAAAGAAUACUCCAUGAUCUCAUCAGUAACACCAGCCCAUGUGACCGUAACUCUCACUCAACGAGGAGAAAAUAUACAAAGAGAAGAUGAAGAGACAACCAAAGUAAGACACAGUUAUCCAGAAAGAGCCCUAGAGAUGGAUAAGGAACCUGUUGGAAUGCUCUGAUAUUAAGAAAAAAAAAAUUAAAUUCAAAACCAAAAACAAGUCACAAGAAAAUUUGGAAAACAGGCUUUUCCUAUCCGGAUGAACAGAGAUAAUUUGUGUCGAUGGAUGUUCUGUGAAGGCCUAUUGUGUCGAGCAGCGUAUUAAAACAUAAACAUGGCUCUUCCCCCAAGAAACUUACAUUUCAGUAAGGGAGCCUGGCCAAAAUGGAAAACUGCAAGGUUCAAAUCCUGGAGUGCAGAAGAAGCAUUAGGCAUUGACCCUGUGGCUUCCUAAUAGAUCCGCAAAGUGCUUUGUUCCUGGAAAUCAUCCGAUGAGUAGUUCAGUGCUAUUGUAUAUCUUGUUAGAGCAGCCGAAGUGCCACAAAAUGAACUAAAAUCUCCCUGCAGAGUUGCUGUAUCAUAUGCUGAGAACAUUCGGAACUUUCAACAAAUUCAUGUUACGAUCCUGGGUAGCCAUGGUUAAAUCUGUACAGGGGUUAAAUGAGAAAUAUGAGCCUGCUGUUAAGUGUCUUCUGAGAGUGACAAAGCUCUGGCCAUAAGGGAUGGGAGAGGAGGGAUUUCUUCUCAGCCUUCCAGCCCUUUCCAGCUGUAUCACAGACAGGAGACAUAAUGCAAAGGGGCUCAGACAUUGACUUCCUGGAUCUUUGCGGCCCCAGGCAUUGACCCCCUCUACCUGGCUUUUCCUACGCUGUAAAAUGAGGAUCCUCCUAUAUUAUGGAGUUUAUUGUGACAACUAAAUAGCUGAGAAGAAGGACAUCUCAUUUGUUUUAACUAUGCAGUUUCCUGUCUAUCUAUCUAUCUAUCCCAUCAAUCUAUCAAUCAAUCUAUCAAUCUGUCUAUCCCUAUCUAUCUAUCCAUCUAUCUAUCUAUAUCUGUCUAUAUCUAUCUAACAUUUAUCUAUCAUCUAUUCAUCUAUCAGCUAUCUUCUGUCUAUCAAUAUUUCAAUCAAUCUCUCUAUCCCUAUCAAUUAAUCUAUCUACCUACCUAUCAACUAUCCAUCUAUCUCUAUCAUCUAUCAUCUAUUCAUCUAUCAUUUAUCAUCUGUCAAUCCAUCUUCCUACUAUCUAUCAAAAGCAACACAUUUUCUUCCUGACUUUAAAAAUAUUUAAGUGGGCCGGGAGGAUGGCUCACGCCUGUAAUCCCAGCACUUUGGGAGGCCUAGGCGGGCGGAUCACGAGGUCAGGAGAUGGAGACCAUCCUGGCUAACAUGGUGAAACCCCGUCUCUACUAAAAAUACAAAAAAAAAAAAAAAUUAACCAGGCGUGGUGGAGGGCGCCUGUAGUCCCAGCUACUCGGGAGACUGAGGCAGGAGAAUGGGGAGAACCCGGGAGGCGGAGCUUGCAGUGAGCCGAGAUCAUGCCACUGCACUCCAGCCUGGGCGACAGAGCAAGACUCCAUCUCAAAAGAAACAAAAACAAAAACGUAAGUGAUACUCUGUCCACUCUUUUGAUUGAGGAGGUCUGAUUUUCAGGCUUUGGAUUUUAUUAUGUCUUCAAUAUAAUAAUUGUUCCAUGUAUCUCUCCUAAAUUGCCAUUUGAAAAACUGCUUUUCUGAAGUUUAAAGUGCACAUUUUGAUACAUCUUGACACAUAUAUACACCCAUGAAAUCAUCACCACAAUCAGGAUAGUAGAUCUAUCCAUUACCGCCAAGGUUUACUUGCACUCCUUUGAACUUUCUCCCCACUCCUCACCCCCUGCCUAUCCCCAAUCCUUAAGCAAUCACUGAUUUGCUUUCUGUCACUAUCAGUUAAUUUGAAUUUUUCAGAAAUGUAUAUAAAUAAAAUCAUUCGACGUGUAUGCUCUUUUUCUGUUCACCCGGUACAAUUUGAGAUUUAGCCAUGUUUUUGCAUGUGUCAAUAGUUUAUUUUUUUGUUGCUCAGUACUAAUCCAUUUUAUGGAUACAGAGAAAUGUAUUAAUGCAAUCCCAUAUUAAUAGGCAUUUGGGUUGUUUCCAGGUUUGGGCUGUUACAAAUAAAGCUGCUAUGAACAUUUUUGUGCAAGUCUUUUUAUGAGUAUAUUCCUUUAUUUCUUUUGGGUAAAUACCUAGAAGUGGGAUGGGUGUAUCACAUGGUACGUAAAUAUUUAAAUUUUUAAGAGAAUGCCAAACUGUUUUUCAAAGUAAUUGCACCAUUUUAUAUUCCCACCAGGAAUAUAUGAGAAUUCCAGUUCCUCUACAUACUCACAGACAUAUUGUAUGGUCAGU